rnacentral:rRNA from 1 species
UACAGAGGGUGCAAGCGUUAAUCGGAAUUACUGGGCGUAAAGCGUGCGUAGACGGUCAUGUAAGUCGGGCGUGAAAUCCCCGGGCUCAACCUGGGAACUGCAUUUGUGACUGCAUCGCUGGAGUGCGGCAGAGGGGGAUGGAAUUCCGCGUGUAGCAGUGAAAUGCGUAGAUAUGCGGAGGAACACCGAUGGCGAAGGCAAUCCCCUGGGCCUGCACUGACGCUCAUGCACGAAAGCGUGGGGAGCAAACAGG